rnacentral:misc_RNA from 1 species
GAUGAAGAACGCAGCGAAAUGCGAUAAGUAGUGUGAAUUGCAGAAUUCCGUGAAUCAUCGAAUCUUUGAACGCACAUUGCGCUCCCUGGUAUUCCGGGGAGCAUGCCUGUUCGAGCGUCAUUACAACCCUCAAGCUCUGCUUGGUGUUGGGCCCCGCCGCCCCGGCGGGCCCUAAAGUCAGUGGCGGUGCCGUCCGGCUCCGAGCGUAGUAAUUUUUCUCGCUUUGGAGGCCCGGGCGCGUGCUUGCCAUCAACCCCCAAUUUUUUUCAGGUUGACCUCGGAUCAGGUAGGGAUACCCGCUGAACUUAAGCAUAUCAAUAAGCGGAGGA